rnacentral:lncRNA from 1 species
AUGGAAAUUAGAAAUGUAAUAGCUAUUCCCUUUUCCACACUGAUCCUUCAGACAAAAAGUGAAGCUCUGCACAACUGGAAGGACCUACAACUAGAAUAUCCAACUGUGUACUGGGGGGCUUUGGGGAGAAGGAAAAAGAAAAGAUUGGGAAGUUUGUCAGCUCAGGUGCCAAUCUUUAAAAAAAAAGAAAAAGUGAAGCUGCCCUGUCACUUUGAAAAGUCCUUCAUAUUUUCACUAUUCACAGAUAAAUUGCUGCUCAUUAUACCGAAAUUAGAAAAUACAGACAAGUAAAAAUAACAGUGUCUCCCAUAAUCCUACAAACCAUAGGUCACUAUUAUGUCUUUUGUAAAAUCUUCAAAUGUUUCUCUGCAUAUAUGUAAUUAUCUAGAAUGGAUUCAUAUUAUAUCUACUAAGUUGUAUUUUGCUUUUUUCAUUUAAAAAUUGGAAAUAUCUUCACAGGUCAGUAAAUAUACUCUAACCAUUCCUACUGGUUGCAUAAUAGCCCAUCUUGUAGAUGUACCAUAGUUUAUUUAACCAUUUCCCUAUCAUCAGAGAGUUGUUUCCAGGUUUUGUUGUUGCCGUUAUUCUGCUAUUGCAAGCAGUGCUAAUCUAAUGAAGAAACGGCAGAGGACCCCAGACUGAAGAAUAUUCUACAGAAUAAGUGGCCUGUACUCUUCAAAAAACUCAAUGUCUUGAAAAACAAAGGCUGAAGAACUGUUCCAGAUGAAAGGUGACUAAAGAGACAGGACAACUGAAAGUAAUGCGUGAUCCUGAAUUGGAUCCUGCUUCAGAAAAAAAGAAUUCUUGCUAUGAAGGACAUUUUGGGGACUAUUAACUAAUUGUAAAUAUGGAUUGAAUAUUAGAUGUUAUUAUUGUGUCAAUGUUAAUUUCCUGAUUUUGACAGUUAUAGCUAUUGAUAAAUGCAACUGUUACAUAAGAGAAUAUCCUUGUUCUUAGGAAAUACAUACGGAAGUGUUUAGGAGUAAAGGGAUGUCAUGUCUGCAUUUUAACUGGUUCAGAAAAAAUUUGUGUGUGUGUGUGUGUGUAUAAAAAGAGAUAAAGCAGGGGCUGGCCCCGUGGCCGAGUGGUUAAGUUCGCGCGCUCCGCAGCAGGCGGCCCAGUGUUUCGUUGGUUCGAAUCCUGGGCGCGGACAUGGCACUGCUCAUCAGACCACGCUGAGGCAGCGUCCCACAUGCCACAACUAGAGGAACCCACAGCGAAGAAAACACAACUAUGUACCGGGGGGCUUUGGGGAGAAAAAGGAAAAAAUAAAAUCUUUAAAAAAAAAAAAAAGAUAAAGCA